ACCUGAAAGAGAGGAAAGGGUUGGGGAAAACCAAGUUAAGUUUAAAUUGCCAAAUCCUAGGAUAGCAAAAAGAGCCCAUUUCAAAUAAUCCUGAUUGUCUUAAUACUGUGUUUAGAUGCCAGCCAAGCACUCUUGUGCAGGAAUGUUCUGGAAUGCCAUGCCGGCAUUUUUUGGGGGAGCCAGAAUGGCAUUCCAGUACUGCUGAUAAUUGUAAAGUAAACCAAUGAUAGUGGUUAUUGCUUUCAUUCUUCACCUUGCACUAUACUUGGUCAGUGCGUAUGCAGCAAAAUGGUGCAUUCCAGCUUUUUUUUUUUUAUGGCUUGAGAACUGAUGCUAAUUAUAGUGACCGGCACCCUAUGAAUACCUAAGCCAGAAUGUGUCUCAGGUUGUCCUGUUGAAUAGUCUAGCACACUUAUUGAUUGAUUAACUAAUCAAUCAAUCGAGGGAAUUCAUAGAUAAAAUGAAAAAACAUCUUUUUUUUUUUGCUCUUGAACAUAGGGGCAGCAGAUGUAAAUUGGUGCAGUCAAAGAUGUACUGUAGGAAUCAGGCAGCAAUACUGAGAUUAAGUUUGGUGGUUAUGUGUAUGUUGUGGCUUUGGAUCUUACCCAUACUUGAGCAAUUUGGCAAGCUAACUGCCAUUUAAACCUUCCAGCACACCUGUCAUGUGUCUGCCCACAAAAUUACUAUCUAUGGGGCACGGGAACAUAUCACACUGUGGGUUGUACUUGCUCCAAGCAAGGCUAGCUACUAUGUUGCUCACAUCACUGUGAAGCUCCACUGGUACAGUGCCAUUGUAGAUACAAAGAGGUGGUGCAAAUUGUCCUCCCAUCACUGUCCCACAGAGCACUAGCCACCACUUAGGGGGUCUUUUUAGCCUAGUUCUUCUACCUUGCUGGUUCAGGAUCAAGUUUUCUGGAAGUCCCUUGCCUGUAUAAAUAGUACUGCUUACCUUCAAUCUGAUUGUGUGCUUUUUUUUUGUCAGCCCCCUUAGUUUUGUGUGUUUCAGCAAGCCAAUUUUGGAACAAUUUCAGAAGGAAAAUGCUAUUGUGAAGGAAUGCUGCGAGCUGGCCAGAGGCAGAUACCAAGGUGCUUGUGAGAUUCAAUUGCAGUUGGACUCUAAUUAGGAAAACGUUGGAUUAUGACUGAGUGACGCAAAUAUAGCGCGUGGCAGGGAAUCACCCACUUGGGGAAAAGACAACACCAGGAGAAAAGUAAAAGGGCCACAAAAGAGCCUGAGAUAACUGCAGCCAGUCCGGGGUAAGGAAGAAAACCUGCCUUUUUUCCCCAAUGAAGUGGACAGUAUUUUUGGCACUCAUCCAUCUACAGAGCAUGAGAUACUUUGGAAGGCACUGUGACACCUAGCACCUGGGCCAUCAGGAGAAGAGGAAGGAGAAAUAUUCAUCAUAGCCCAGUCCAUGACAAGGGAUGUGGGCCAGGACCAGGAGGUGCCUGAGACCUUACCAGGAUUCCAAGACCUCUUUGGAGAAGCUCAAGACCUAGCUACAGCAGCCAAACAGGUUGGGGUGGACGUAGGAGACAAAGGAGCACGCAAGAGGGCCCGACUGCACCCAGGCCCAGUGUGGAAAUGCUGGCACAUCUCAGAAUGGGACAGCAAAAGCAUCAAGAAUCACAAAUUAUUGAACAGUUGACCAUCUCACUGGAAGGAAAUGGAAAUGACUUACAGAGGGGCAUGUAAAAAGACUCUGAUACAAUGUUUAGAUUCAAGAAGGAAAAAGCUGGUCGUUUUUUGGAAAGACAAGACCAAUUUAGGCAAGAGGACAGAAAACCAAUGAUGGAAUGUAUAUGGCAUGAUAGUAAAAUGACGCUGCCAGAUCAAGAGGUCCAUAGAAAACUUCAAAGAGAAUACAUGGAAAAGCAAAGGCAGCUAGCACUAUUCUCCCAGGACCUGUUUGCAUUGUACAACCACCUCAGCAUGAUGCCAUGGUACAGAACUGCAGCCCAUACUGGACUGGCUCAUCCCUCUCUGCUCCCUCUGCUGUGUUCUCCGGGCACUCUGGUGGUGAACAGGACAAAGAACUGGAGUAUGCCGGACAUGCAUUUUAUGGCCCUAUAGCCCCGUAAACCAAAUUUGUGCGUGCUUGGUUAUUUUUCUCUGGUUACUUAUUGGAAGCUGUCCUGAAUGUCUGUGGUUUUAAAUAAAGUAAAAUUGCAUAAUUUA